rfam:Oryza rufipogon genomic scaffold, chr01
AAAAAGACAAACUCUGCUUUCCGUGUCUAACAUUUGACCGUCCGUCUUAUUUAAAAAAAAUAUGAAAAAAAUUAAAAAGAUAAUUCACACAUAAAUUAUUAAUCAUGUUUUAUCAUCUAACAACAAUGAAAAUACUAAUUAUAAAAAAAAUUUAUAUAAGACGGACAGUCAAACGUUGGCACGAAACCCAAUGUUUGUCUUUUUU